rnacentral:rRNA from 1 species
UACAGAGGGUGCGAGCGUUAAUCGGAAUUACUGGGCGUAAAGCGUGCGUAGACGGCUAUCUAAGUCGGGUGUGAAAGCCCCGGGCUCAACCUGGGAAUUGCAUUCGAGACUGAAUAGCUAGGGUACGGUAGAGGGAAGUGGAAUUUCCGGUGUAGCGGUGAAAUGCGUAGAUAUCGGAAGGAACAUCAGUGGCGAAAGCGACUUCCUGGACCAAUACUGACGCUCAUGUGCGAAAGCGUGGGGAGCAAACAGG